AAUAAUCUGGCCACAAAUAAUGGAAAUUUAUUAUUAUUAUUUUUUCUUUCUGCAAAUUAAAAUAAAGAAUGUUUUUGUUCAUUAGACCAGACUGUUUAAGAUGACGCAAUAACCAGAUCUACUUGUAUUUGAACUCAAAUUACAGCUUAUUCGAUUUUAUCCUCAAAUACUGCAUUGCUGUACCAGAAGAACAGCACAGUGAGCCAGUCAGCAUUACUAAAGGACACAGACAAGCAUUAGAAGAAGGAUCCUGGCAUCUAUCAUGCCACUACCCAAGCUAACACCUGGCUCUUAUAUGCACUGAUUAACAAUCACUCCAGCCCUCGUCAUCUGCACUACAGAUACUCACAACUGAGAUCCCACACCAUUAACAACUUACUAAUCAAGAUGUUUUCAAAACCCUAGAGAUGCAUAGCAUCUAUAAUGUAAGUAGUUUGCUCUUCUGGUUAAUUUGAGUCAAUUUCUGCGCUAAGCCUGGUUCAAAUAAACAUCUCUAGAAUUUUGAUGAUAUUAGUAUAGCGAUCUACACUUAUAUCUCAGGUUGCAUUUUUACUUUUAAAUCUUGUCAGUGAUGAGUUACAUGUAUAAUAGAAGACACAUGGACUGUGUUGAGCAGCCUGUUUUCCCCACAUUGCAUGUCUGGUGAGAUAGCACCCCCUUGUGGAGACUUUAUAUAGGAAGGAACUUGGAGGUGCAUCUGACAAGAUAAUAUCACAGUUCCAGAUUGGAUGCUGCCGGUGUGCCUCCUGUUGAACAGCCUGAAACUGUAUUCAUAUAUCUGAAACAAAAUGUAUAAACAAUAUAUAUCUUAAUCCACUAAAGGUAUGUAUGUAUGUAUAUCAUCUAUCUUGCUUGUUACUCUGAGUGCAAGAAGACUGGUAAGGAUCCUUGUCUCUGGGGUGGUACUUUCAGUUGUACACUAUUUGUCCCACUAGAAUGUAAGUUGCAACUUUAAAGAUUUAACUCUGUAUUUAUAUUUUGUGCUAAUUAUGGUGCCAAUAAUAAUUAUAAUAGUAUUAUUAGGAUAUUAAUAUCAGGAUUAUAAGAUGCAGGUUAAAUGUAAAUAUUUGUACAGCAACAUGGAAAGGUAUCAAAGAAGAUUAUUUGUUUUAUUUUUCUAAUUAUUUGCUUUCUUUCUUUUUCAUCUUUAUUUAAAAAAUCUUCUAAACACAGCUUUGCAAAGUAAAGUGUUCAUACUUACUUUUUAUCUCUUGUCUGCUUUCCGAAAGAAAUUUGACUAAGAAAAAAAAAAACAUGGACAUGAGUUAUUUUGAUUCUUGGACAUAUUAAUCAGGAGAGCAUUUUGCACAACAAUUGCAAUAUGGACAAUAGCCAAGUUACAUCUGUGUGGUGAUUAAUGAAAGGUAGAUGAAACCGUUUCAUCCCAAAACUCACAUUCUGUCCUUUGACUGGUUUGCUGUAGAAAUCCCUCUCUGAUUGCUGACUUCCUCUUCGGCGUUCUUUUGUAGUUGCAGCUGACCAGAGUGAAAAUAUGUAUUAGUCUGACAGUAAACGAUCCACUAAACCUACACACUUGUGUACUUGUGUGCUGAUGAACCGUUGUUGUACCACUCAUUAAAAUUUAUGCUCCUAAAACCACACCGCUAUUAAAAAAGAUUACAUUGACAUGCACUGACAAAUGGCACCUCAAAGAGUGUGCUUGAAAUUGUGUGAACUACUUUCUUCUUACUCAACCUCCUCACACUACAUAAAGAUUGUGGCCUUGUGUGUGUGAUCUUGUGCUUGUUAAACGCUCCUGCGAGAGACAGAUACCUUAUGAAGGAGGCUUGUUAUCAAGAGAUAAAAUAAUAACCAUAAUCUCCUAAGGAAAUGUUCUCAGGUCUCAGAUGUAAAGCAGUAGUGAGGCACUUACCUGGCGUGUGAUGAACGAUGUUGAUUUUAUCUGUUGGAUAAAGAAGAAACUAGUUAACUUGCCUACAUCAUGACUGUUCAUGGUCGGUCCACUCUUCAUUAUUAAAUGAACUCAAGCAACAAUUGUCUUUUGAUGCUUUUUUAAUCCUUAUCACUCAGCACCACUUCUGGGUGUUAAAAUAAAACCUUAAGGAAAUGUGUAUCUAGCGUAAUAAUGCUACUGUAUAUAACCUGAAUACUUCACAUGCUUUCUAACCACAUGUUUAGGAAUAUUCCAGCAUUACUAUUACCUCAGAAAGUUUCCUUGUACUGAAGAAGGAACAUAAAAAGUUUACACAAGACUGACUUACUGUAUGAAUAAGGUCAUGAAUUCAUACCCGCAGCAUUCACACUCUAACGACAAGGGUUUUACUACUAGACCUUCAUAUAAGACUGAAUAAAAAAGUUCAAAUUAAUCAUUUACGCCACAGGUACAGUACAGGUACCUGAAGUUUAAAACCCAGGAUUAUAUUUUUUAAUUCUACGUACUGACCGUAGACACUGUCAUCAUCCUCUCUGUUAUUCAUGAUGCUUGCACGCAACUGCCGAAGUUUUUCCUACAACACAAAGGAAUUUAUAUAGAGCUUUGUUAUAGUCACCAUAAUUUGGAGGUCAUCAGUUAGAGCACAGCUAGAUAGAUAGAUAGAUAGAUAGAUAGAUAGAUAGAUAGAUAGAUAGAUAGAUAGAUAGAUAGAUAGAUAGAUAGAUAGAUAGAUAGAUAGAUGAUAUUACAUAUAUUGUGCAAAUGUGUGCAUUAUGUCCAUUGUAUGUGCAAGAGUAACCCAGAAAUAUACAGUGUAUUUACAGAUAAUAUACAUAAACAGAUGUAAACUAGGGUAAGAAAUGAAUGUACAGUUCUAUACAAUUAGAAUAGGUAGAAAAGAUGUAACGGUAUGUUCAGGGUGGAGCAGAACUGCAAUGUGAUUACAGGUUACAGCAUUUUAUGAUAGUUGCUUGUGUUUGUGCAGUUACAGUGUACAGUGAUACUGAAUGUAGUGCUGGGCAUUAGGGUUUAUUUGAUAAAUUGAUUCAAUCGGUUUAUGCUCAUGUAGCUGCCUACUGUCUCUAUACUCUGUACUAACAAAAUCUCGUCUCUGGCAAACUGUUCAAGAGAUGGCUUGUGUCCAGACCUUUGCUUAUGGGAUCAGAUCAAUGGGAAAUUUCAAAUUUCAUUUAGUGAUGAAUGAAUCACAAGAAAGAAUGAGUGAGAAAGAAUAAUGUGAACUGUAUUGAAGUCUCAACCAAAAAAAACAAACAAUGUUUCAAAGAACGGACGUGUUGACUGUUGGCUGCAGAAGAAGUGAACAGUACAUAGUGAACAGAGUGGCAGGAAAAAUAACAGAAAUGGAUGAGUCUCUUUGCUUAACACAUUACAGUCAAGUACUAUGCUAUGGCACUGGUUCAGCAUGUGAAGUGUGUUCAUUUUGUCUUCUUUGUAAACCUUCCCUAGUUGCUUGAUUUACUGCUGAAAUGUGGAAUGUUUAUGUUGUAUAUUGUAUGGGCUCCUAAUAUGGCCAUAGCACUAGGGCUAUGUUUUACUGGUCCUGCACUACACUAUGAAUUCUGGUGAAUGUAAUGUUGAUCUGUUCUCACUUUCUGUUUAUUUUAUGUCUGCAGACACUCAAGGUCCCUACUGGAAGCAUCCCAUCUGGAUAUUAUCUGCUGACAAUAAUAUAAGUGAUACUGAUAUCAGUCUGGUCUGGUAAAGCCCAGUGAUUAGAAAAGAAGAAUGUACAAUAAUGCAGUACAGAUAUAUAAAUAUACUUCAUUAUAAACACUGAAAGGUCAGAGGGAUUUUAGUGUUGAUAGUUAAAUGGAGCUUAAAUGGAGAAAUUUUACUAAGUAAAUUAAUAAGUCACCAACUGCUUUUGGGCCCAUAUUUGGCCGUCAGUUAAGUGGAACUCGUUGUCGGUUUCAUUGUUUAUUAUAUACAACUGACACCUUUUAUUAACUAUUGUUGCUUAUGCUUUAAAGAUGGCGGCCUGGAAAAACUUCCUAAAAUAAUAUUCAUGAAGAGAACUGUAAGGCACAGUGGUUUAGAUGUUAAACCAAACAUCGGUUUCCUCCGCUAAUCAAAAGACAUAUAUUGUAGGCUGAUUGCCAUCUUUAAAUCUUUAAUCUGCAGUGAGAUGUGAGUAUGCUAUGGAUUGGCAUCCCACCCCCUGCCUUGUACCCCAAAUCUCCUGGGACUCCAGGUUCCCCUCAACCAUUUGUAAGAUAAGUGGAUCAAUUAUUCAUGCCUGGAUAGUUCAGGUUUUUCUGAACCGAAACAUGCUUCGUAGAAUUUAAUUUCAACUUUAACAUUUUCCCAGAUCACUGUAUAUAUUUACAAGCAUCUUAUAGUCCAUCUUUUUUUACUUUAUGAUACAAUGCAUUAAUAAUUGAUAAUGAAAUAAUUCGAUCAUAAUUCUUAUAUAAGUUGCACUUAUUAUCUAUCUAUCUAUCUAUCUAUCUAUCUAUCUAUCUAUCUAUCUAUCUAUCUAUCUAUCUAUCUAUCUAUCUAUCUAUCUAUCUAUCU